rnacentral:lncRNA from 1 species
UUUUUUUUCUCCUUUCUUUCUUUCUUCCCAGACCCACUUUCCUUUUCCUCUCCUCUCCUUUCCUUUACGUUUUGUUUUCAUUGUUCUCCUCUUAGCCUAAUUGAUCUUGUUUACAGAUUUUAGCCGGUGACAUCGUCAUCAAUCAGUCAUCUUAGAUUUCCACCCAAACCCUUUUCAUUUCCUUUCCAAGUGUCUUAAAAUUUUCCCAAAUCACCUAUUUGAUUCGUCGAUCGCUACCGCCGCUCUAAUCCCUCUCCAAGUCCAAGUAAUUUGACAAUUUCAUAAAUGCACCCAUGGUCAGUACUCCACGUUUACCUCUAACGUAUGGAAGGUUUCUACAUUUAAUAAUCCAAUGAAGGCUUUUGGUGUGUUGAAUUGCUAUUCCUUUGUAUUUCGUAUGAACCAAUGAUGAGAUCUAAAGCCUACAAUUUUGCUGCCAAAGGGCGAGAGACUUCACAUUGGAUGGUAAGAACAAAUAACAGUAGUUCUUGUUGAAAGUUUAUAGAUUUUAACUCAAGAUUGUGUUUAAUUAAAAGUUAUCGUUUACUGAAAAUAUUUUCUUUGAAACUACUGUUUAUUCAGGGGAUAUAGAUUGGAAAGGCGGUUUCUCCUUUCUCAAUUAUUUGAAAUUUUUUAAGAUAUAGAGCCAUAAGCAUAUCCUACCAUUUUAAUGUGCAUAGGUUCAUGCAUCCUCUUGUAUAUGGUGAAUAUCUAAAAACGAUGCAGAGUAUUGUUCUGGAAAAGGCAACCAGAGGUUAAGAUGGUAAAGGAUCAUUUGAUUUCGUGGGCAUAAAUCAAUACUUUACUUAUAAUAUGGGACAACAUCCAGAUAAGACAAAGCCCCUUGGUUACCAGUAGGAAUUAGAAGUUGGAUUUCCUUGAAAGAUACUCUCGUGCUUUUGUUUUUGACAUUGGAAUCAAUAUUUACAUUUACUAUAUAAAUAAGCUUGUCCGUUGCCUUUCCAGAUGCUCGUCAUGUAGUGCCCUAUCAGUUCGAGGGUAACUUAGCUCAAACUAUAUAUUUUACAAAACUGAGCCAAACUUUAUUAAGUACCUUUUGCUGAUAAAAAUGUCUUUAUGAAUUCGUUAUAAUCAGGUAGUGUAUGAUUUGCUCUACAUUGUACCGUGGAGUCUGCACAUAGCUAUUAACUAUGUUAAAGAGGGCUUUGGAAGUUGAUUUUUGCUGAGAAUGGUGCAGUUUGUAUUAAAUAUUCAUUGGAGUUUUGUGUUAAGGUGAAAAUUUAUCAAGAAUGCUAAAUCACAUUCAUAUGAUUAUCAGGAAUGGAUGAUCCAGGGAAUUUAACGCUAAAGGAUUUGCAUGAUACCACAAAAAUCAACUACUACAAGAGCUAUUUAGCAGAAUUGAUGAAAACAAUCAUUGAGGGAGCCAACGUGAUCGGGUACUUCCGAUGGACAUUGCUCAAUAAUUUCGAAUGGAGACUCAUUUGCUCUUUUUUGAUUUUUGGAUAGAAAAAUGCUAUGUUUUUUAUUGAUUGGUUGAUACAAAUAUGAGUUCUUUCAUAGUGUUUUUGGAGUUUUCCUGUACUUGAUUAUAUAGAAGAUAUGGUAUCUUUGUGAAAUGACAAAACUAGUUAACUGUUUAGUCCACGUCAUAUAACAUUCCUUUACUGAAUAUCGUUCUGGUCCACUGGAAUUAUUUUGGAAGCAUUUGGAUUAUCUGAAGACAGUUCAAAUGCAUCAUCUAUUGAGACCAACACCUUCCAUGUGUUUAGAAGUUACUAAAUUUUUAACGAUUAAAGGUGUUGUAUGUUUUUUUAUUCUAUGUUGCGUGCAUAGUUAACUUUCAGUCUUUCAUAAACUUUGCUAUCAUCAUUUAUACACCAUUUUAAUAAUGAUGUCUCAAGUCUUUUACUUACAUAAUCCUAGUUUGCUGGUUGUAUUUUUUUUUUUUCCAAAUAAUGUUUUAUAUGCUUUCCUAGAAAUUGGUGUUUGGUACAAUUGAUUCUGUAUUAUAUGUUUCUUCUCAUAAUCAUGGCUUACUUUGUCGAUUGCAUUAUUGAUCAUUUUUCUUAUGGUUUAUGAUUUGAAAUUAGUACUAUUAUUGACUGCUAUUAUGUUAUAUUCCACUAUCUUUAUGGAACACAAGGUAGACUGCCCAUGCCAUCAGAAAGCUGCCUUCUACCAAGGCUAAGAGGUAUUUUAUAGAAUGUAUUGAUCCACAAACAACCCAUACCCUUCACCCAUUUUUGUCAAGGUAUUGGACGAACUGCUCAGGCAAAAAACAGACGUUGUAAAGAUAGCCGAUGUAGCUCGAAUGAGUAUGGAGCAAAUGAUGCAAAACAAGCUGAAUGUUGUUGAGCAACAAUUCAAUUCUAUGUUGCAGCCUUCACAUCAUUCUAUACACUAGCCAUUUGGUAAAGUUCUUGGCUUCCUUAUACCACCAUUUACACCAUUGUCAAUAGAGAAUAAUGCUAAUGAGGAAGAUGAACGUUAUUGUCUUAUUGAGUACGAAGAGAAUAACUUUGGUGAGAAUCAACUGCAUAUCUAAUUCACAAGGAUGAAGAGUUAUUUCUUUAAGUGCAAGGUAAUAGAUAUAGAGCAUGUUUGCUAUACUUUUUUUUUUUUUUAAUUUAAAUGUAAUCAUACUUAGUGAAUGGUUUUUAUUUGUGUUUCAAUGAGAUAUUUUGGAUUCAAUAUUACAUUGAUUGACACUAUAUGUCUUAAUUUAA